rnacentral:lncRNA from 1 species
UUUCUGUUUCAAAACAAAAUUUCCAGGAAACAAAAUACUUAACAAUGGUUGGGUACAAAUGAAAUAAAAAUCACAGUUUCAAAGAACCAAAAUCAGACAACUGCUUAAAGGCAGAUUGCUUAGGAUAUUUUAUAGUAAAUUAUGCAUGAAAGUUUAUUAAUUGCAUAAACUUCCUGAGUGGCUCCCAUGCUGCACUAGGUCUACAUGCUUAAUAUUCAUAUCAAACAAAUUACAGCUUUAAGUGAUUGAGCAUGACAGACCUUGAACAACUGCA